GCAGUCGAGCGGUAACAGANAGUAGCUUGCUACUUUGCUGACGAGCGGCGGACGGGUGAGUAAUGCUUGGGAACAUGCCUUGAGGUGGGGGACAACAGUUGGAAACGACUGCUAAUACCGCAUAAUGUCUACGGACCAAAGGGGGCUUCGGCUCUCGCCUUUAGAUUGGCCCAAGUGGGAUUAGCUAGUUGGUGAGGUAAUGGCUCACCAAGGCGACGAUCCCUAGCUGGUUUGAGAGGAUGAUCAGCCACACUGGGACUGAGACACGGCCCAGACUCCUACGGGAGGCAGCAGUGGGGAAUAUUGCACAAUGGGCGCAAGCCUGAUGCAGCCAUGCCGCGUGUGUGAAGAAGGCCUUCGGGUUGUAAAGCACUUUCAGUCAGGAGGAAAGGUUAACGGUUAAUACCCGUUAGCUGUGACGUUACUGACAGAAGAAGCACCGGCUAACUCCGUGCCAGCAGCCGCGGUAAUACGGAGGGUGCGAGCGUUAAUCGGAAUUACUGGGCGUAAAGCGUACGCAGGCGGUUUGUUAAGCGAGAUGUGAAAGCCCCGGGCUCAACCUGGGAACUGCAUUUCGAACUGGCAAACUAGAGUGUGAUAGAGGGUGGUAGAAUUUCAGGUGUA
rnacentral:rRNA from 1 species